rnacentral:rRNA from 1 species
AAGCAAUGUGUAAUGAACGUCGUUCUAUUAUAACAAAAUAAAACUUUCAACAACGGAUCUCUUGGCUCUCGCAUCGAUGAAGAACGCAGCGAAUUGCGAUAAGUAACGUGAAUUGCAGAAUUCAGUGAAUCAUCGAAUCUUUGAACGCAGCUUGCGCUCUCUGGUAUUCCGGAGAGCAUGCCUGUUUCAGUGUCAUGAAAUCUCAACCGCUAGGGUUUCCUAAUGGAUUGGAUUUGGGCGUCUGCGAUCUCUGAUCGCUCGCCUUAAAAGAGUUAGCAAGUUUGACGUUAAUGUCUGGUGUAAUAAGUUUCACUGGGUCCAUUGUGCUGAAGCGUGCUUCUAAUCGUCCGCAAGGACAAUUACUUUGACUCUGGCCUGAAAUCAGGUAGGACUACCCGCUGAACUUAAGCAUAUCAAUAAGCGGAGGA